rnacentral:tRNA from 1 species
GCCCAGUUAGUUUAGUUGGUUAGAACACCACACCCAUUAUUCUUCAGAAUAAUUAACGUGGAAACGCGGGUUCAAUUCCUGCGCUGGGCU